GAUGAACGCUGGCGGCGUGCCUAAUACUUGCAAGUCGAGCGAACAGACGAGGAGCUUGCUCCUCUGACGUUAGCGGCGGACGGGUGAGUAACACGUGGAUAACCUACCUAUAAGACUGGGAUAACUUCGGGAAACCGGAGCUAAUACCGGAUAAUAUAUUGAACCGCAUGGUUCAAUAGUGAAAGACGGUUUUGCUGUCACUUAUAGAUGGAUCCGCGCCGCAUUAGCUAGUUGGUAAGGUAACGGCUUACCAAGGCGACGAUGCGUAGCCGACCUGAGAGGGUGAUCGGCCACACUGGAACUGAGACACGGUCCAGACUCUUACGGGAGGCAGCAGUAGGGAAUCUUCCGCAAUGGGCGAAAGCCUGACGGAGCAACGCCGCGUGAGUGAUGAAGGUCUUCGGAUCGUAAAACUCUGUUAUUAGGGAAGAACAAAUGUGUAAGUAACUAUGCACGUCUUGACGGUACCUAAUCAGAAAGCCACGGCUAACUACGUG
rnacentral:rRNA from 1 species